rfam:Ictidomys tridecemlineatus contig037237, whole genome shotgun sequence.
UGAGUUGUGGCUCAGUGGUAGAGCACGUGCCUAGUAUGCAUGAGACACUAGGUUCAAUCCCCGGCACCACAU